rnacentral:rRNA from 1 species
UACGGAGGGAGCUAGCGUUGUUCGGAAUUACUGGGCGUAAAGCGCGCGUAGGCGGCUUUGUAAGUUAGAGGUGAAAGCCCGGAGCUCAACUCCGGAACUGCCUUUAAGACUGCAUCGCUAGAAUCCAGAGGAGGUGAGUGGAAUUCCGAGUGUAGAGGUGAAAUUCGUAGAUAUCGAGAAGAACACCGGUGGCGAAGGCGGCCAUCUGGACAGAUACUGACGCUGAGACGCGAAAGCGUGGGGAGCAAACAGG